rnacentral:rRNA from 1 species
AUUAUGAGUUUAUUAAAACUCCAAACCCUAUGUGAACCUUACCGUCGUUGCCUCGGCGUGAGCUACGGCUACCCUGUAGUUACCCUGGAGCUACCCUAUAGCUACCCUGUAGUUACCCUGCAGCUACCCUAUAGGUACCCUGGAGCUACCCUGUAGACGGCUUAUGGCCCGCCGAAGGACCGCUAAACUCUUGUUUUUAUUACUGUUAUUCUGAAUUAUAAACUAAAAUAAGUUAAAACUUUCAACAACGGAUCUCUUGGUUCUGGCAUCGAUGAAGAACGCAGCGAAAUGCGAUAAGUAAUGUGAAUUGCAGAAUUCAGUGAAUCAUCGAAUCUUUGAACGCACAUUGCGCCCAUUAGUAUUCUAGUGGGCAUGCCUAUUCGAGCGUCAUUUCGACCCCUAAGCCCCUGUUGCUUAGUGUUGGGAAUCUACGGCGUAGUUCCUUAAAGUUAGUGGCGGAGUUAGGGUUCACUCUCAGCGUAGUAAUAUCUCUCGCUCGUGUGGUGGCCCUGGCUGCUAGCCGUUAAAACCCCUAUAUUUUUUAGUGGUUGACCUCGAAUUAGGUAAGAAUACCCGCUGAACUUAAGCAUAUCAAUAAGCGGAGGAAAAGAAACCAACAGGGAUUGCCCUAGUAACGGCGAGUGAAGCGGCAAUAGCUCAAAUUUGAAAUCUGGCCCUCGCGGUCCGAGUUGUAAUUUGUAGAGGAUGCUUUUGGUGCGGUGCCUUCCGAGUUCCCUGGAACGGGACGCCAGAGAGGGUGAGAGCCCCGUACGGUUGGACGCCUAACCUAUAUAUAGCUCCUUCGACGAGUCGAGUAGUUUGGGAAUGCUGCUCUAAAUGGGAGGUAAAUUUCUUCUAAAGCUAAAUACCGGCCAGAGACCGAUAGCGCACAAGUAGAGUGAUCGAAAGAUGAAAAGCACUUUGAAAAGAGGGUUAAAUAGCACGUGAAAUUGUUGAAAGGGAAGCGUUUGCGACCAGACC